rnacentral:rRNA from 1 species
AUUGAACGCUGGCGGCAGGCUUAACACAUGCAAGUCGAGCGAGCGGCGGACGGGUGAGUAAUGUCUGGGAAACUGCCUGAUGGAGGGGGAUAACUACUGGAAACGGUAGCUAAUACCGCAUACCAUCAGAUGUGCCCAGAUGGGAUUAGCUAGCAGGUGGGGUAAUGGAUCACCUAGGCGACGAUCCCUAGCUGGUCUGAGAGGAUGACCAGCCACACUGUAACUGAGACGCGGUCCAGACUCCUACGGGGGGCAGCAGGGGGGAAUAUUGCGCAAUGGACGCAAGCCGGAUGCAGCCAUGCCGCGUGGGUGAAGAAGGCCUUCGGGUUUUAAAGCACUUUCAGCUAGAAGGCGUUACUCGCAGAAGAAGCACCGGCUAACUCCGUGCCAGCCGCCGCGGUAAUAC